GCCCCUGUAGAAAAUGGAUAUCAUGUUGGAUUCCUAAUCCAAAGGUCGUGGGUUCAAAUCCCACCUGGGAUG
rnacentral:tRNA from 1 species